rnacentral:rRNA from 1 species
CCUACGGGUGGCAGCAGUGGGGAAUAUUGGACAAUGGGGGGAACCCUGAUCCAGCCAUGCCGCGUGUGUGAAGAAGGCCCUCGGGUUGUAAAGCACUUUCAGUGAGGAAGAACGCCUGGUGGUUAAUACCCAUCAGGAAAGACAUCACUCACAGAAGAAGCACCGGCUAACUCCGUGCCAGCAGCCGCGGUAAUACGGAGGGUGCGAGCGUUAAUCGGAAUUACUGGGCGUAAAGCGCGCGUAGGUGUCUUGAUAAGCCGGUUGUGAAAGCCCCGGGCUCAACCUGGGAACGGCAUCCGGAACUGUCAAGCUAGAGUGCAGGAGAGGAAGGUAGAAUUCCCGGUGUAGCGGUGAAAUGCGUAGAGAUCGGGAGGAAUACCAGUGGCGAAGGCGGCCUUCUGGACUGACACUGACACUGAGGUGCGAAAGCGUGGGUAGCAAACAGGAUUAGAUACCCCAGUAGUC